CACUGGUCGAGAGUUGGCACCGCUCUGCUGAUGAGUCUAAGACGGAUGAAACCAGUA
rnacentral:sRNA from 1 species